rnacentral:piRNA from 1 species
AAGGCAUGUGCGGACGAUGGCUU